AUUGAACGCUGGCGGAAUGCUUUACACAUGCAAGUCGAACGGUAGAGGGGGCAACCCCUCGAGAGUGGCGAACGGGUGAGUAAUAUAUCGGAACGUGCCCAGUCGUGGGGGAUAACGUAGCGAAAGUUACGCUAAUACCGCAUACGAUCUAAGGAUGAAAGCGGGGGAUCGCAAGACCUCGCGCGAUUGGAGCGGCCGAUAUCAGAUUAGGUAGUUGGUGGGGUAAAGGCUCACCAAGCCAACGAUCUGUAGCUGGUCUGAGAGGACGACCAGCCACACUGGAACUGAGACACGGUCCAGACUCCUACGGGAGGCAGCAGUGGGGAAUUUUGGACAAUGGACGCAAGUCUGAUCCAGCCAUUCCGCGUGCAGGAUGAAGGCCCUCGGGUUGUAAACUGCUUUUGUACGGAACGAAAAGGUCUCUCCUAAUACGGGGGGCUCAUGACGGUACCGUAAGAAUAAGCACCGGCUAACUACGUGCCAGCCGCCGCGGUAA
rnacentral:rRNA from 1 species